rnacentral:tRNA from 1 species
GCCCCGGUAGCUCAGUGGUCGGAGCGGCAGCCUCGUAAGUUGUUGGUCGCGGGUUCAAAUCCCGCCCGGGGCU